GUUUCUGCUCAGUUGGAAGAGCACGAAUUUGACCGCCAAGCGUCUUGAAACCGUGAAAAAUCGGCGAGACUGUAAAUCUUGAGGUCGCUGGUUCGAUCCCGGCUCGGGGGACC
rnacentral:tRNA from 1 species